CUCCAGGCAAAAAUGGACUGUUUGGUGUUGGAGGCUGAGCAGAGGUGGGCAAAAAGGAACAGAAGGAGAGUAACUGGUGAAGAAGGAGCAAAGAGUGAGGCACAGAGGGGCCUGGAAAAGCCUCUCCCAGCAAUCUCAGGUGGCAUGGUCUUACUGCCUGGAAUUGCCAACCUUGGAGUUCCAACUCUGCAUCUUUGAAGUCUGGCUGGGAGUAGUCACCAAUCUGAAAGUCAAGGCCCACAGGAUCCUGAGAGUCCAGGAGUCCAGAAAGAGACAGACAGGCAGAUAGAUAGAGAGAGAGAGAGAGAGAGAGAGAGAGAGAGAGAGAGAGAGAGAGAGACAGACAGGCAGACACACACACACACACACACACACACACACACACACACACACACACACACACAGAAUCAACUAUGCUGCUGCUUACCAGCCUUUUACUUCCUUACUUGUUACUCUUAUUGUGUCCUCUGACACCAGCCUAGGGGUUGUUUUAAAGCUUCUCCAUGAUUCUCAAAUCUUCAGACUCACCCUCCCCACCUAGUUCUCUAAAAUGCCACCAGCUCCCCCUCUGCAUUGGAAACAUCCAUCUUCCCUGCUCACUAUUCCCCUCCGUCUCAAAAUGUUCCUUUGUUCUUCACUCACUUCCUUUCCUUUGGCAUCUGGGGAAGGUUUGUUCUCCUUUUCAAAUUGAAGGCCCUGACCUGGGCUCAUGAUCAAAUAUCACUCAGUGAUCUCCUCUUGAGUAAUUUCAGUCUCACCCUUUCUGUAAGAAGGACCCUCAGUCUUUCCCACACAAUGCCCUCUCAAUGUGCACCCUACCUUUCUUUUCCUUCCUUUUAGAAUUGUUAAAUUAGCAGCCUGCACUGACUAGCUCCUCUUUCUCACCUCAUCUCUUUCCAAUCUGCAGAUUGCAAUUCUGAUUGGGAUCUUACUUCUGGUCAAAUUGCAAUAUUGAAACAUAAUUGGUGGUGUAAUGAUUUUACCAUUGAUGACUCUCAAACCAUCCAAGUCAGUUUUUUCUUUCUUUCUCAGUCUUAUUCUCACCCUUCCCUCACUACAGGGCAUAGGACACUGCUGACAUCCCCUUGCUUCUUGAAAUGAAUGCUUUCUGCUACACUACAGUAGUAGUUCUCUUUCAACCAGGGAUAGUUUUUCUCAAGUUUCCUAAAUGAUGCCUCCUUGGCAUUCCUGAGAUUCUUCUCCUCUCCUCCCUUUUUUGCCUUUACUCCACUCUCCCCUCCCCUUGUCUCAUGCACUGCCAUGGUUUUGGUGACUACCCCUUACCUCUACAGAAAUGACUCCCAAAUCCUUGCCUCCAGAGGUCUCUUGCCUCCUGGAUCAUAGUCCCUCAAUUCUACCUGCUGGAUUUUUCCUUUGGUAUACUGCUGGCAUCUUAACCCAGAGUGUUCAAUACCCAAAUCAUUCCCCUCUUCUUGAAACAGACUCAGCCUUUUCAGCCUCUUUACUUUUGUAAAUGGUAUAAACGUUACCUGAGUCAGGCAAACUAAAAAUAUUUGCUUCUGCAUUGCAUCACUCUAUUUAUUUAACUCACUUUUUCUGUUUGGUUGUUUUCUGCACUGGCUCUUGGCUCUACUCCCUGCUUUCCACUGCAGUUGCUCUCACCUGAAUGCAUAGUUUAUCUUUCUGCUUGGAUGCUUGCACUAGCCUGUUUGGUGACUGUUUCCUUGAUUUUGUUUUCUCCUUUUCCAAUUAUCUAACACACUCAGACAAACUGAUCUUCUUUGAAAAAUUUUUUCUGAGACAGAGUCUCGCUCUGUCACCCAGGCUGGAGUGCAGUGGCGCAAUCUUGGCUCACUGCAACUUCUGCCAGGUUCAAGCAAUUCUCCUGCCUCAGCCUCCCAAUUAGCUGGGAUUACAGGCACCCGCCACCAUGCCCGGCUAAUUUUUUAUAUUUUUAGUAAAGAUGGGGCUUCAUUAUGUUGGCCAGGCUGGUCUCGAACUCCUGACCUCAAAUGAUCCACCCACUUCAGCAAAUUGAUCUUCUUAAAGCCUGAUGAGUCUUUGCUGGUCUCACCUCUCUGCUAAAUUAAGCUAACCUUUAAAAUGGCAUUUAAGGUCUUAAAGAUCUUUCAAGGCUCAAUUCUCAGGACUUCCCUAAAAUUAAUCUAUUUUCUAAUCAAAUGUGAUGGCUCAAAAUUUCCCAGUAAUUUCCAAUUUCUGCCCCUUUGUUUAUAUUCUUUCCUUUACCUAGCUCCCCCAAGAGCACUUUUGCUCAAAUGCAGUGGAAUCAAUUCCUUCUCUGAAACCCUAUAAAACUUAGUUUGUGCCUGCUUUUUUACCCUGAUCAUUGUCUGCUUAAUAUUGCAUAUUUUGGUAGCCUAAUUAUCCUACUUCUAUCUCUUCCAGUUUAUAAAAUAUUUGAAGGGAAAGAGUGUACUGUAGGCUUUCUUAGAAUCUUGCAUGGCAUCCGAGGCAGUAUCUUUUGCAUUGUAGGCUCCAAUAUAUAUUUGUUGAAU
rnacentral:lncRNA from 10 species